UACGUAGGGUGCGAGCGUUAAUCGGAAUUACUGGGCGUAAAGCGCGCGCAGGCGGUUUUGUAAGUCUGACGUGAAAUCCCCGGGCUUAACCUGGGAACUGCAUUGGUGACUGCAUUGCUGGAGUAUGGCAGAGGGGGGUGGAAUUCCACGUGUAGCAGUGAAAUGCGUAGAGAUGUGGAGGAACACCGAUGGCGAAGGCAGCCCCCUGGGCCAAUACUGACGCUCAUGCACGAAAGCGUGGGGAGCAAACAGG
rnacentral:rRNA from 1 species